GUGACGGUAUUUGAGCGGAUGUCGCGGAUGUCGGUGUGGUUGUGCGCUGCGAUGCGACUUCUUCUUGGCUGUGUGUUUAGUCUGAUUUUUUUAGUCUCUCUCUCUCUUGAUUUGCGUGUGUGUGUGCGCGAUGGAGCAAAAGGAGCGAGCGAGAAAGACAGAGACAGAAGAUGGCAUCCAAGAAGGUCUCGAAUGGCGAACGAUUUGUAAACAAAGCGACCACCCCGGCCGCGGCCGAAGGAUUGUUGUGUGUGCGGGCAAUACAAUAUCACCCUCUGUCCCGAAAGCCACCCCAGCCCCUUGUUGUGCCUUCUUCCUCUACGCCCUCCCCGCGAAUGAUGCAGACACCCGCGCCUACCACCGUUUCCGCGCACCGUGCAACAUCCUUCAGCGUGGAACCCAACACUCCACUAAUAGGACGAGAUAGAUGGAGUCACCUCCAUGUAGCCGGGACAGGACAGGGACAGGGUAAAGAGCAAUAAGGGUUGACCACGAACCACAUCAUGCCCCGACCAACAACAGCACCAGCAGCAAGCAUAACUUGUUUCAUUUAGUGCACAAAAAAAUGUGACCCAUCCGAGGAUCAACAGGCGGAGCUGGGGUGAAGGUGGGGAGCAAAAAUAAUCAACCCCAGUGCUAAGAACUAUCUUUACCCAAUCGUUCGGAAGCAAUCAAGUGGACCAAUAUCGAAUCUAAGGCGAAGGCAACGAGGCAAAAACAGUGAACCGACACCACGAGGUCUCACCUGAAGCCCUUUUGCGUAAGCCUCCCUCCCCCCCACUCUGUCCACCUUACCCUUACUAUCCAAUCCCCCAAACAGAGUGCUUAUUAGAGAGUUAUCGAACGGGCACAACAAAGCGGCACACAGGCACCGAUUACAAAUUUGCCGUACUUCCUCUCCGUGUUUCGAGCGAAGGACUUUGAAGGGCAGAGGUGCUCGGUGUGCUACCUGGGCUAAUGGGGCAGUGCGUCUGUCCUUGCUACAUGAACACUGUAGUUUUAACACACCACUACGGAGUCAGCACUGGGUGGAAUUUAGCAAACGGAUCGCGGAGCCGGAAUGUCACUUUAUCGCUCGCUUUAUCAGGGGGAGACCGCCCGCCACCACAGUCAUAUUGCAGCCGAGCAGUGGUGUCAAGUGUCCGCGAGCUUCCUUACAAUGUGUGUGAAGAGCGCGCUGCUAAGCUCAUCCACCCCGCGCGGCACGCCAAGCUAAUGCUAUCAAGCGACGAGCGACGGACUCAGGCCGGCUGCGGAUUGAUUUGUAUUAGAAAGAAGGAAGCGACGAGUAGGAAGAACAAUAAUAAAAACACAACCACUCAUACAGCCUCGUACCACGGACGUCGUGAAGACAGGCGGCAUUCAAAGGCAGGCAGGCAGGCAGGCACGCUAAAUCCCGCACAACCGCGCCACCAAUCCAGCUCGCAACGAGAUCUCAGACCGCGAGCCGCGAGAGUUCAGUGAAACACAUCCGCCAAGGUCAAACGGUUGUUAGGAGGACCAGACACCACAGCGCGAGCCGAGGCAAAUGUUGUCAAUUUCCGAGAGGCUGGCCCGGUCGAGAUAUGCUAGGAAGGGGGGGCGGCCUGGAUUUUAUGGUCAUCUUUAUCGUCCCGUGUGAAAGACACCUCUCUGUCUUUGCCCACCCCGGAGGAACCCUGGGCAGGGGUAGCCAGCGGUAUCUUCGCACUGACGGUUCCUCAAGGGAUGAAAGUGUCCUGAAGAGUGAAUCCUGCGGCGCGUCCCUAACGCCCUUGCAAACGCUGGUCAUUGUAAAAAAAAGCACGCACGAUGGCUUGUGACUUAUCGUUUAUUGGGAGUAGGAGUGUUGGCAAGGUAAUGGGACACGAAUCGGCAACAUAUUGCCGGCAGAUUACCUUCAGAACAGUGUGUUGGAGUUUUGUCAUUGAGCGACCAGGCAGGGGUUUCGUUGCCCGUAAAUUUGGACCAAUGAGCCCAGGAGCAAACAGUGUACCCGUUGGGCAUGGUAAUCUAUGCAUCCUGGCAGUGUUGCUGGAAGAUGCAAACAGGGAAAGCAAAGGGCAUUUUUAGAAAGUUCGAAACAACAAAGCACUUAAGCCGAAGUAGCUGCUAACCUUUUCUCUUUCAUUUCUCGCCAUUUCUUGCCUGCCUCGAGGGUGGCGUUUUCCCCGGCUCCGCAUGAGACACUGUCCCGUGCGAUCGUCGGCAAACGGUAAGGGCUUUAACCAGGGAUGGAUGUCAAUCUCACGCAGUGGGAAAGCAGUUCGAGUUGUAAAAAUCUCAAGUACCCAGGCACCGUCCGAGGGCGUUUGCAGGGGGAAACUUUGGUGCCUCAUGAUCGAAUGGAAACACCCGAACACGCACUCGGAUGGAGUCAUACCCGAUACUUCGGGCGAUACACAAUUCCAUUGAUGGCGGUGUAAUAUAUUGGUCAUUUAAAGUGACACUUCAGUCGGAUCUGUCUGUACCACUGGUUUUCCAUCCGCACAUCAAAACAAAAGACAUUCACAGACACAGUGUGGGGUUUUCCUGAAACGCUCCCAACUCCUAGGGCGUCCGCAACAGGCAUCGGGGGCAUCUGGCAGAGCAGUCCGUCAGUCGACGUCAAAGAUGGUGUUAACCGGUUCCAUUAUGGCAUUAUGUUUAUCAGCCGUAAAAAAGACGAUUUUGAUUGUGCGACACAACAAAAAACAACAGCAACGAGAAUGAGAAGCAGGCAAUGAUCGGCCACCCCAUCGCGGGGUGGCAUUUGGAAGUCUUUUGUGAGUGCGUUUCAGUCAGUACCCUAGCGCUGGCAGCUCUGGUGAUGAUCACGAUCACCAGAUGGAUGAAGGAUGACGAAGGUCUUGCCCAAAGAUGUCAACAAAUUAGCUGCUCGUGCUGCCCCCGUUUGAAGUUUUGGACUUUUUUUUUCAACGGAAGACUGGUUGCGGACGUCUUGUUUAGGGCAGCAAGAAGGAAGUGAGUGAGUCGGCGGAGAACCACACGAAGGAGGUGCAAUUCGUUAUGAGUCAGUAAUUUUGGUAGCCGAGGCGCGUCAUGUGUCGGUGGAGUUGGCAGAAGCCGUCUUGAAAGAUGGGCCCGGAUGUGGAUGCGGAGUUCCUUGUACACAAAAGCGAACCAGAGGCAUUGCGGCAGUUGCGGUGAGACGAAUCAAGCGUACAUCAUUCGUCGGAAGUCAUCAUGAGCAAGACGAUCGUAAUGAGGAUCUUACGUGGCAGUAGGUCCUGUUGCAUGCAAACCAAACCAACAGUGCCAUCCAGUCUGGUCUGGGAGGCACUGGCAGGUCACCAUGGUUCGAAAGCGUGCCAGGAUGAAGGGUAGACAACAUGUUUCUUGGCAAAGUCAACUCGUUGAGGGGUUCGGUUGGCCGUUGAACGGUGCUUUCGCUUCUCGGGGUGCAUGGACGUUUGGGGAGGUAACGAGCCUCCCCUCUCCGCGUUCUAGAAACAGGGAGCUAGGACUUGUGAACAAUGACGCCUAAAGAUCUUUCCUUUUUUGCCUUGCUUUUGCUCUUCAAGGAUCCAGACGGGUUGACCCGGGCGUGCUGGGUAGGGAGUACGCGACGUCUCGCAGCUCCGAACACAAUAGCUCCUGGAGUUCGACACAAAAAAAAGAGCCCAGAAGGGUGGCACUCUACGGGGGGAGCGGGGGGAAACGAGAACGAAACACCUGGACUCGGUCGGUGCUGCAGUUUUCGGGGUCGGUAUUCUUCAGCGCAAACGCAAAGGAACCCUCUGUUGCUACCAAGCUGUCGCGUUUAACGAUCCUGGACCAGGAAACAGAAGUGGGGAAGUUUUCCUUUGACGCUGCAUACCUAUACACACACACACACACACUGAACUGGCUUUUUUCUUUUCCUCAGCUAAAUUGCUUCCAUGCUGCUUUUGGCGUCGUCGUUCCACACAGGACGUCUAAGCAGUGGACCGACUUGCCGCAUGGUUUGAAUGGCGUUCCAUCACACAUGAUGGUUUUGGCACGGGCCGUGCGAGGUAAGCGGCGGGAACAAGACGACGCCAAGCACAGGGAGGAUGCGUGCGACGGGCAGGCAGUCGGGGGGAACUCUCGCCCAGCAAAACAAGCACCGUCAGGGCACCGUUUCGCUCCGAAGAAGCCAAGGGACUUCCGAGCGCAAUUUUAGCAUCCUUUCGAUCGUUGCGAGUCGUUUACAUCGGACCUGCCGUACAAGGAAGAUCCCAGACUGAAAAAAAGGGAUUGGAGCACCGCAACAGCACGAACGAACGAGCAGCAAAAACCUGAAAUCUCUGCCCAUCACCUUGACUGGUGUUGGCAACGACCGUCUAAGCAACGGCGAACCCCUCGGGAUCGGGUCGUCACGGCUGACUUUGGUUUAAUCGUUUCGCUAAAAGACGCUGGCGCUACAUCCGCCAUGAUGCCGCAAGGAUGAUGAAGUUCUUUUCGGUGCUGUUGGCUGGUGAGCAGCUUAUCCUCCGCACGCAUCCAUUUAUCGAUCCGUGUGGAUCACACGGCUGUGCGGCCUCGCAACGCUACUAACUAACGACCUUAAUGGGCCAGCGCACGGCCCGGUUCGAUCCGUUCUAACAACUUAAUUGUUCGCCGCCUCCAUCGUUGCGUUCGGAGGGAGGGAGGGGGCUGCCACGAUAGAGGUGUGGAGGGAAUGGAAUGUUCGAUUGUCUCUCCAAGGUACAAAGUACUUGAAAUGAAUGAUUCUCUGUGGGCUGAGCGUUUGGGUACAGCGUUUAACAUCCUUUACUCUCGUAUUGUGCGUAAUUUUUUUUACGUACGAAGAGGCACCCCCGGUGGAUGGAGGCUCGGGUUCAGUUUGGAGGAAAAUAUUUGAAGAAAUUAUUUACCUGCUAAUUCCCAAAUCCUGUCCAGCAACAGCACCCCUGGGCUCUCAAGCACCAUUCUCGGUGACUUCACAGUAAGUACCCAGCGGAUCGGAAUUCAACGGUCUUGUCUUUGGCAGCGUCCCACGAUGCUAAACGAUGUUGUUUGAACGGUUGGCGGAAAAACAAACGUUUGCCUUCCGUGAAGGCGGACGGAUGUGCUCUAGACAGGGUGAUCUCGCUCGCUCACACAGCCUGUGGCUCUUCAACCAUUCGGGUGUCCCAGUGCCGAAAAAAGGACCUUUUCCAUUGGUGGCUCAGGUGGCGGCUACUUCGAACCUCUGAUUAAGCUCUUUCGGAGGUUUUAAUGAUGGAAGAAAUAAAUCAACCCCAGAGCUGCUGCCGACACCGCUACGAAGACUGCAAGGAUUGCUGUCGGCACACAACCUGCUCACUCACCGUUCCAGGAAGAUCGCUCUGAUCUUUGGUGUGGAAUCUUCCACUACAUCGCUAGUGUGUGAAGAUGAGUGUCGAGAUGUACAUUAAUAUUUUCUCUUUUUUAUUUUCAAUUUUUCAAAAGGACUCAAUCGAAACAAUAAAAGGCCCCCUUUGCUUGUUGUCUCCCGUUCGCCCAUAAAAAGCAUCCUUUCACUGGAGCUAUAAAAACGCUUAUCUAGUGUGCCGAGAUACGGUUUCCUUGGCAAAUAGAUCGAGUCGGAUUGCGUUGGAAUGUGCAACACACACACACCUCGGGGCCUUUCGCUUUCCCCCUUGCCGCAGGAUCAUCAGGAUCCUCUGUCCAAGCGGUCCAAGUAUCCUUUUCCUUGGGAGUUUUUUUUUCUCACAACCAUCCUAACAAUGCGUAUAAGUGUUUGUGUGUGUGUGUGUGUGUGUGACGAGUAGACUGAUCUUAAGGCCCACCCCAGCGAUAGGCGAAAGGUGUCAAUUUAAAAUCGUGAUACUCGCUUUCCGCUCGCUGAUUAAAGGCCGCUUUAGCGGCCAGCAUAGAGCAUGGGGUAGAGGAGAAGGCAAAUUGAAAAAAGAGAGAGAGAGGAAACCCCGUGUUUGGUGAAUAAAUAAACAGCCGUGGCAGAGGAGAGCAAAAACGCCUAAGAAACAAGCAAGCAAAACUGGCUGGGAAAGAAGUAAAAAUAACAAUCUUCACAUUAGGACAUUCGCCGACGCAGGGCCAGAGAACGCCGUGCAUUCUUGCUUGCCUUGGCCCGCUGCAAACGAGAAGCUUGUUUGGGACGGGCCCCGGGUUCUCUGUUUGCUCAUCCUGCAAGGGGCUGCAAUUCUGUGCUUGGUUCGUUUGGAGGUGGAACAACAUUAAAUCAGGUAUCCCUUGAAGCGGCGGAAGAAGUGGAUAGGGCCACGGAAAUGUACCGAAAAUUAUUUGCUUUUCUAAUCGCGGACCACCACCGCCGCCGUACCUUCUGACGUGACCAGCAGCAAGGUUCGUUUACAGACCUGGGGCGCAGAAGGUGUUGACGGUACAGGAAUGCUGUGGAGUGAAGAAGUGUACACGAGGUAACAAGCGUAGUCCCGAAAUGUGCCCAAUUUCGCCCAGAAAACCCACACGAGACACGAGAUUUAAUGGAACUGCAAAAGCGAAAAGGUUAUCGCUUGCGCAAACACAGAACCAGACUUACUAAACCCAAGAUCAGGCAUGGGCUAUUCGGUAUAUCUGGAGCAGUGGAUGGUACUGGAAUUCAAGAAGCAUCAUUACGCGUUCCAGGGCUUUGGUCCGUUGUUACUUGUUCUUCAUACCACACGGUUCUCCUCCAAUCACGGUUGUGGGAUCCUUUUUUUCCAGAAUUGUCUUUCCACCGUGAAAACUACCGUCUUCUAAUGGAUUUCGGGACGCUCGAUCGACCCGCUGCUGUCCGAACUGUUUAGUGCCGGCAUGAUGGUCAUUUGCGUUUUUUGUUGUUGUGUUGCUCGCUUCUCGCUGUCCACAUUGGUUGUUUUGGUUACCGAAAAUCGAUCCAUCGGGGCUAGGUGUUGCUCUUGCGUUUCCCCUCUCCUUUCGCGUACAUGCUAGGAUCGUUUGGGAUCGUACCGCCGGAGACCUUCAAGCGUACUGUUUGCUUCAAGUUCCGACUGCUUCAAAACGGCGCUGUCCACCUUCACGGGUUGCAACUUUGCACAGGUAUCGAAUCUGCCUGCCGAGAGGACCUGCCUGAAUUUGCUUAAUCGAGGACAGGAAGGCAUUCAUUUACCAAAACAGGCGAAGAAGGUGCGUUCAAAAGGAUUCAAGAAACCGUUUGUGCAUGUGCCGUGAUUUGAUGAUCCGCAAACCGUUCGCCAGCCGUUCAAGAUAGGGGCCGCUAAAGACAGAAACAUACUACCGUAUGUGUGUGUGUGUGUGGUGAUUGUGGCGAAGUACACGUCCCGACUACUCCGGCGGUUGGUCAUUGUGGUUGUGGUCUCCUUUUCUAACCCUUUUUCUGCCUACCGGCCAUGCCAGGGAAACAGGUUUCGGCGCGAGGGUGUCAAACGCUGUUACCGAAGCGAGGUGCCAUGGGUGAAGUGGACAUUUGGGUUGCAGCAGUACAAGGAAUGUACCUAAUCACCCACGAUGCGGUCGGUGGCAAGCAAAAACAAAGUGGUUAAUGCGUUCUGUCACUCCUUUUUUGAAGCUGGCAUGCACGGCAGAAGUUUGGUCCGAAAGGCCAAUGGUUUCAGGUUGCACGCAGUGAGCGAAUGAUGCGAUUAUGGCAGGUAGAGAGGGUAGAUGGCCUAAUAUCCUGGACUUUCACCGCUUCAUUGAAGGUGUAUUCAGAAGGGGGUGAAAAAAAAACAUGACAAGAAUAGAAGGUGCAAAGUGAGCAAAAUUCAGAAUGAAAUGCAAAUACGCUCAGCUAUGAUGUCUUUGUGACGUUAUAGACUUAAAGUUUGUUGAUGUUAAUUGGUUUUUUGGGAUUUUCGUGAUCUACAACGUGUUUUAGAUCACUUAUUGGAGAGAAAAAAGGCAACACUCCUCCCGAGGAGCAUUCAAGGGUUAAUUCACCGAGCUGACAACAAUGUAUCGAGUGAAGCUCAAUAUUUGAACAGAUUUAAUAUCAUUUUGCAUUUUUAUACAGAUAACAUCAGUUUAUUACUGUAUGAGCUGUGGUCCCUCUCGUUCGACCGCUCUCGCUCUCACCUCAUUAGCACAUUAGUUUAUCAAAGCGGGCGUCUUCUUAUCGCGCUCUCGGCAUCGACCGAUCGUCACGGGAUGCAUUUUUGCCAGCUCAGAGCAGCUUGCACACCUUUUCGAUUUAAUUAUUGGAAACCUUCGUGUUGUUUUUUAUUCUCCUCUGGCUCUGUGUUUACUCUUGUACCCUCGGGUUGCAAUUUGCUUACAGCUCUUCUUGAAGCGGGUUGCUGUUGGUAAACAUUAAACAACGAAACGGAACAGAAAGAAGGACUGAUCGCAUUGCUUCGCCUCUGCCCGGAAUCGAUUGGCCUUCGGCUUUGUGGGACGCCAGUGCACAGUUCUUUGGGUUUGUGUAUGUGCGCGGUUGUUUUUUUGCUCAGCAAAGCCACCCUCAGGCUGGUAACCGAAUGGCUGGGACUCCGACACAGCUGCCACAGCGCGAAGGAGUAGUACGUACGUACGCAAGGAGCAAGCGCAAGUGUGUAUAAACAAAUAAAAUCCCAUGUGCAGCCGGAGUGAAACGGCCGGAGCAGU